GAGAAGAACGCAGCGAAAUGCGAUAAGUAAUGUGAAUUGCAGAAUUCAGUGAAUCAUCGAAUCUUUGAACGCACAUUGCGCCCCCCAGUAUUCUGGCGGGCAUGCCUGUUCGAGCGUCAUUUCAACCAUCAAGCCCUGCUUGUGUUGGGGUCCUGCGGCUGCCCGCAGGCCCUGAAAACCAGUGGCGGGCUCGCUAGUCACACCGAGCGCAGUAGCACAUCUCGCUCAGGGCGUGCGGCGGGCUCCAGCCGUUAAAGCACCCACCUUUCGCAAGGUUGACCUCGGAUCAGGUAGGAAUACCCGCUGAACUUAAGCAUAUCAAUAAGCGGAGGA
rnacentral:misc_RNA from 1 species